GAUGUCGCCUGUAAAUCUCUGGAUAUGUCCGCAAGGCACAGGGAAGAGAGCUUGAAUUAGAGCCGAUUAGAGACCCGUAUUCUCCCCGAGGAGGGCAAGCCUGCCCGUCAAGCGAGCCCCGCAAGGCCACGGGGGCCACUCCAGGAGGAAGCAUCUCUUACGACCGCUUUCCCGGCAGCCGAGCGAGCUUUGGGAAGGACAGACACUCUUUCGUCUUCGCUCUUCUGCCCUUUGUGGUGAGAGCGCCCGGGUCGCCCCGGGUGUGCCCUCUUCCCGCUCUCAGCCUAAAUAAACACAGAAUCCGCCUAAUUAUAGUUACAGUGGAAACACAACACCCGAACCUCACCGCCAUCGCUGCCCGCCCAUCUCCUGCCCGGCUCCGCCCGCCGCUCGGCGCCCGCCCGCAUCGGCCCACAGCUGCACCCUAGCGGCUGCCUCCGCGCCCCGCCCGCCGGCCCGCCCGGCCCGGGACCUCGGCGCGGCCCACCCCGCUGGGCUUCUCUCCAGACAUCCCUCUUCUCCCUCCCUCCUCCCCUCCUUCCCGUUUCCUCUUUCUCGCGUUCCUUCGUGCACCCAAGACUGCACAUCCCUGAAAAUAAGUUGUUAAGCAAGAGCAGAGGCACCGUCUCCAUCCUUCCGGGAAACAGCACCUGUGGCCCCAGUCCAGCUGCAACAGGGGCUGGAGGGGACCCUUGGCCUGGAUGUUCCUACCUCUGCAAGGUCUAGGGAAUUCUCUCUGUGGUUGACCAGAUCAGGAAAGGCAGAGGGGCUGGGAGGGUGUUGGGUGUCCCUUAAGAUAGAGAAAGAAGGAAAAUCCUUUUGCUCCUUGGUGUUUUUGUGUCCUCCCAGGGAGGAGGGAAAGGCUGUCCUGCCUGAUGAUCCUUCCUCCCUCUAUCACUGUUUUUGGCCUUGAACUUAGAACUCCCCUUCUUCUUUGGCCUGUGGGAGGCCUCCUGCUUUUAGAGACUCUUCAGCCCUGGGUGUUGAAGCAGAGAGGCCUGGACAGUGAUGGCAGAGGGUGGUUCUGGAUGAAGCCUUCGUCCAGUGGGGUAUCCUCUCCAACUUCCGCCUGGAGAGGUGGGGCUUAGGGCCAGGGCUGUCUGACAGGGCAAAGGAAUCCAUUUAUUCUAACAAACAAGGGGAAUCCACCCCAUGACUAAUGGAAUCAUAGUCCCUUCAACACUGCAGAAACCAGUUCCCUAAAAAUGGGAAUUUCAGAGCCCGAGGCAGUGCAUCACCAAGGACAGUUCUGGAUUUCAUCCACGUGGUAUUAACUUACACGCUAGCAUAUAUAUUACACUAGACAUAUAACUCACCCUAAUUUAUUGAUGUCUUUCUGUGUGUGCAGGGUCUUGCUCUUGUAGACAAAUUUGGGGAUCUAAUAACAAAGUAAAGGAAGGAUUUCUCAAGGGCAGGUGUAAUCUGAGUAGACCUCCUGGAAGAUGUGGGCUUUGGAAAAGGGUAUAAAUAAAGAGAGGGCGGCCGCCUAGCAGUUGGAUGAGAAUGGAGAGGAACCCUUGAGGAAAGAGACUGGGUGUGAGCUUAUACGACAGAACAAGAAGAGGAAGCAACUCUAUUUGCUCACUAAGAGCACAGACCUGGAUAUUUUAAAGUUUGAUUUUGCGAGGGAGUGGGAUGAACUGGGAAUCUGGGGUUAGUUGAUGCAAACUAUUGCCUUUGGAGUAGAUAAGCAAUGAGAUCCUGCUGUAUAGCACUGACAACUAGAUCUAGUCAUUCCAUCACAUUUGUGAUGGAACAUUAUGGAGGAUAAUGGGAGAAAAAGAAUGUAUAUACGGGAGUUGCCGUCAUGGUGCAGCGGACACAAGUCUGACUAGGAACCACGAGGGUGUGGGUUCCAUCCCUGGCCUCGCUUAGUGGGUUAAGGAUCUGGUGUUGCCGUGAGCUGUGGUGUAGGUCGCAGACGCGGCUUGAAUCUGGUGUUGCUGUGGCUCUGGCGUAGGCUAGCAGCUUGAGCUCUGAUUAGAACCCUAGCCUGGGAACCUCCAUAUGCUGCAGGUGCAGCCCUAAAAAGACAGAAAGACAAAAAAAAAAAAAAAAAAAAA
rnacentral:lncRNA from 1 species